CCGAAAAUAGCUCAGUUGGUAGAGCGGGAGACUGUAGUUAGUCUGUCAUCUCUAGGUCCCUGGUUCAAAUCCGGGUUUUCGGA
rnacentral:tRNA from 1 species